CUCAGAGACCACGAGGGCUGAUUUCAGAAAUCGAAGAGGCACCUACUUUUCCAGCCUUGUCAGCACCUGUCACACGCACACUCAGCUUUGCGGAAAUUAUGAGCAUUCUGUCGAAGAUUUCUGGCGAAGUAGAAAGCACAUGAAUCGUACUGUUCAAUCACCCACUUCCCACACGCAACAGUAGCUCAUGGGUACCACAGAUAACUUUGCCAAAGUUCUCUGACAAAGUUGAGACACGUGAAGCUUGCAGCUCCCACUACAUCGCUCUGACC
rnacentral:lncRNA from 1 species